rnacentral:rRNA from 1 species
UGCCAGCCGCCGCGGUAAUACGUAGGAUCCAAGCGUUGUCCGGAAUUAUUGGGUUUAAAGGGUACGCAGGCUGGCAAUUAAGUCAGUGGUGAAAUCCCACCGCUCAACGGCGGAACUGCCAUUGAUACUGGUUGUCUUGAGUACAGUAGAGGUAUGCGGAAUGUGACAUGUAGCGGUGAAAUGCAUAGAUAUGUCAUAGAACACCGAUUGCGAAGGCAGCAUACUGGACUGUAACUGACGCUGAGGUACGAAAGCGUGGGGAGCGAACAGGAUUAGAUA